rfam:Oscillibacter sp. KLE 1745 genomic scaffold Scaffold306, whole genome shotgun sequence.
AAAUGAGAUAGAGGCGCGGAUGCGACGAGACCAUGGGAGCCGACGGGCGAGGAUCGUGGGGGAGGCAAGUCCGCCGAACUCCCUGGUCAGGUAUGGGCAGGGGGUGGGUCCGUGGGGAAUACCCACGGGACUGUCCGCGGAAUUUUCCGCGGGGGCGCUAUCCGCUUA